rnacentral:rRNA from 1 species
UACAGAGGUCUCAAGCGUUGUUCGGAUUCAUUGGGCGUAAAGGGUGCGUAGGUGGCGAUGCAAGUCUGGUGUGAAAUCUCGGGGCUCAACCCCGAAAUUGCACCGGAUACUGCGUUGCUCGAGGACUGUAGAGGAGAGUGGAAUUCACGGUGUAGCAGUGAAAUGCGUAGAUAUCGUGAGGAAGACCAGUUGCGAAGGCGACUCUCUGGGCAGUUCCUGACACUGAGGCACGAAGGCCAGGGGAGCAAACGGG